GUUCUCCUUUUAUUCCUCCUUUGUUGGACUAAUAUUUUCCGAGACUUUGUACUCGAUGUUACUAGUAUACAUGAAACAUGAUAUCAUAUUUCAUGUAUACUAGUAACAUCGAGUACAAAGUCUCGGAAAAUAUUAGUCCAACAAAGGAGGAAUAAAAGGAGAACA
rnacentral:miRNA from 1 species